UCCGGUUUGUCACCGGCAGUCUGAAGUGAGUCCCCAACUUAAUGCUGGCAACAGACGAUAGGGGUUGCGCUCGUUGCGAGACUUAACCCAACAUUUCACAACACGAGCUGACGACAGCCAUGCAGCACCUCUCACUACAUUUCCUUGCGGACACUCCAGGCAUUACCCCGGAUUCGUAGGAGUUCAAGCCUAGGUAAGGUCCUGCGCGUUGCUUCGAAUUAAACCACAUAAUCCACCGCUUGUGCGGGCCCCCGUCAAUUUGUUUGAGUUUUAAUCUUGCGACCGUACUCCUCAGGCGGGAUGCUUAACGCGUUAACUUCGCUACUGACCGGGUCGAUACGGCCAACAGCUAGCAUCCAUAGUUUACGGCGUGGACUAC
rnacentral:misc_RNA from 1 species